rnacentral:rRNA from 1 species
AGUGAACGCUGGCGGUAGGCCUAACACAUGCAAGUCGAACGGCAGCACAGUAAGAGCUUGCUCUUACGGGUGGCGAGUGGCGGACGGGUGCGGAAUACAUCGGAAUCUACUUUUUCGUGGGGGAUAACGUAGGGAAACUUACGCUAAUACCGCAUACGACCUACGGGUGAAAGCAGGGGAUCUUCGGACCUUGCGCGAUUGAAUGAGCCGAUGUCGGAUUAGCUAGUUGGCGGGGUAAAGGCCCACCAAGGCGACGAUCCGUAGCUGGUCUGAGAGGAUGAUCAGCCACACUGGAACUGAGACACGGUCCAGACUCCUACGGGAGGCAGCAGUGGGGAAUAUUGGACAAUGGGCGCAAGCCUGAUCCAGCCAUACCGCGUGGGUGAAGAAGGCCUUCGGAUUGUAAAGCCCUUUUGUUUGGAAAGAAAAGCAGCAGGUUAAUACCCCGCUGUUCUGACGGUACCCAAAGAAUAAGCACCGGCUAACUUCGUG